rnacentral:rRNA from 1 species
UACGUAAGUCGCAAGCGUUAUCCGGAAUUAUUGGGCGUAAAGCGUCCGUAGGCGGUUUUGUUAGUCUGUGGUUAAAUCCUUCCGCUCAACGGGAGAAUCGUCAUAGAAACUGCAAAACUUGAGUAGUGUAGGGGCAGAUGGAAUUCCAGAAGUAGGGGUAAAAUCCGUAGAUCUCUGGAGGAACACCAAACGCGAAGGCAUUCUGCUGGGCACUUACUGACGCUGAGGGACGAAAGCGUGGGGAGCAAAC